UACGAAGGGUGCAAGCGUUACUCGGAAUUACUGGGCGUAAAGCGUGUGCAGGUGGUUUGUUAAGUCUGCUGUGAAAGCCCCGGGCUCAACCUGGGAAUGGCAGUGGAUACUGGCAAGCUGGAGUGCGGUAGAGGGUAGUGGAAUUCCCGGUGUAGCGGUGAAAUGCGUAGAGAUCGGGAGGAACACCAGUGGCGAAGGCGGCUACCUGGACCAGCACUGACACUCAGACACGAAAGCGUGGGGAGCAAACAGGGA
rnacentral:rRNA from 1 species